ACCUUGGGUAUUGGGGAUACCAGGACCCUGGGAUUGCUAUCAAGGAGAGCAUCUGGUGGCGUGGAGCUGGCCUGAGACUAACAGACAAGAUGUAUGUUCCAGAGGUCGCAGAGGCUGAGCUGCUUAGGGCAUUUUUGAGCCUAGAAGAUGGCACAAGCUUGACAUGCUGUGUUGGGAAAGAGUGAGGUCUCCACGUUGAUGAAAGGCAGGGCUACUCUCAAGGAAGAUGUCUUGGAAGAGCCCUUAAACUGCUUCCUGCUCUUGACAGGGACCGUACACCAAGCAUCGAUUCUAGAGGAGGCGAACAGCACUGACAGCUAUUCUUUGUCUCUCGUCUGGGCUUUGCACGGAGCUCGACGUCGUUUCCAUGGGUGAGAAAUACCACUGCCACUACCUUGAUAGCGUUUCUGCCUCCAUGGUUCCUGACCUGCCUAGAAAGGGAGGACCCUGGAGAUUCUUGUUCUACAGCUGUCCUCAGGAUACCCUUAAUUCCCAGGCGCAGGGAUAAGCUUGUCUGACCCCAUUUGACCCCGCCGCAGGCGCCAGGCGUCCUCAUUUAUUGUGAAGCCUAAGAGUCCUCAAGGCUGCCUGCCUACUCCCCCGCUCCC